ACAGAGGGUGCGAGCGUUAAUCGGAAUUACUGGGCGUAAAGCGUGCGUAGGUGGUUCGUUAAGUCUGAUGUGAAAGCCCUGGGCUCAACCUGGGAAUGGCAUUGGAAACUGGCGACCUAGAGUGCGGUAGAGGGUAGUGGAAUUCCCGGUGUAGCAGUGAAAUGCGUAGAUAUUGGGAGGAACAUCGGUGGCGAAGGCGGCUACCUGGACGGGUACUGACGCUGAGGCGCGAAAGCUAGGGGAGCAAACAGGA
rnacentral:rRNA from 1 species